CAGCAGCAAAGGCAUGCAUUAUACUGUCUUAAAACUAGUGUCGUGCUACAAAUGAUGAUUGUCCAGAUUAUCCAGGCAUUUGUGAUACUUUAUCUUAAUAUGUAUUUUACUCACUGCACAGUUCUCCAUCAGCCUGACUCUGUUAUCGCAGUUGACCCUGGUGCCAACGUGACUCUGCAGUGCUUUUUUGCAGAAAACUACAGCAUGUAUGACAUGUUUUGGUACAAACAAAUCAAGGGCCAGCAGCCAUUUGCUAUAGUUAAGGCGGGAGCUGUUGCUGAUCCCAUUUUUCAUAAAGGGUAUUUGAACACACGCUUCAAUAUCAGCAGGUCAAAGAAAAUACUUUCUCUUAGUAUCAUGAACAUUAGUGCCUGGGACGAGGCGGUCUAUUACUGUGGAGUGGAGAUUUACUUUGAUAUUGAGUUUGGAAAUGGGGUAUUCUUACAUAUGUCAUCCUUUAACACUGCAGCUGUAGAUCCAACAGAGAGAGAUUAUCUUAAGGCAGUUGUAAUCUUUCUGUGCAACAUUAUUGGAAUAUGUGCUGUGUGGAUCAUAUUUCUCUGCAUCAGGAUUAAACAACAAAAGGCUUUAUGUCCAGUUUCUUCUGUCUGUAGCCAGUGACAUUUUGAAGUGUCUCAUGCAAAGUCAUAGAUCCAGUUUUUGAGCUAAUCAAGAUCAAAGCCGGAGACAGUGAUGCCCAAUAAGUCAAGAUCAUUCAAGAAGGAA